ACGCGACCCCAGGUCAAGCGGGGCUACCGCACU
rnacentral:rRNA from 1 species